GUGUUACAUAAUUAGUUAAUUUUCAAUAAAUAAAAUUAUUCUUGAAUGCGUUACAACAUAUGGUAUGUAUGCCAUCUUGUUUGUCAUGUGAUACUAUUUUACCUUAUAUAUGUGUUUUUUAUUUUGAUUAUUUUUUCUAAAGCAUUGGAUUAAUUUUUCAUUCCCUAUAAAAUGACAAGUUCAUACAUGUUUCUUGGCUUGUAUACAAUGGUUUGAAAUUGGAUUUUUCAUGUCAUUUUUAGGAGCAAGACAUUUAGAAAGACAAAGUAGUCCGGUGUGUAUCUUUGCCUAGUGUCUUGCAUGUUGAGGAUACCACAACUUUGUCAGUUCUUCAACCCACCAAUUAGUAGCCGUUUCAUAACCCUACACUAUCCAUAUCUAAAAAAUUCCAGCGAGAUCCAAUCGAAGAAAUUUCAUCGAUAAAGAAGUUAAUUCAUCAGAUAGAUUUAUUAUUCGGAGAUUUGGAGAUCGACAUUUUGAAAAAUUUUUUAGAUCGAUUACAAUUUCUGUUGGAAAAAGAAGGGCUACUAUUCUACAAGAGAAAAAAAACCAUUAUGGCCUAUGAAUUAAGGGACAGAAAGCAGAAGCAAGUAUUAUACAUUGAUGAUACAAGUUCUUCAUCAGAUGAUUCUGAUCAUGGUGGCGAAUCAGAUACCGAUUAUGUGAAAAGGCGCCCUCAGCGCAAUCUCAUCAGCUCAACCAACAAUGAUGUUGUCAGAGAAAUAGUUCUUGUGGCCAAAAUUGCUGGUUAUUCUCCAAUGAAAAGAAAACCUGGCCGACCGCCUAAGGCUAAGGCGUCGGCUAGUAAUAGUGUUUGUGCUCUUUCGCAAAUUCAAGGCCCUUUGGUGACAAAGAAAAGGAGUCAGAAGCGUCGAGCUGCUGUUGCAUCUUCUUCUUCUUCUUAUUCGGGGUUGGAAAAAGGGUAUGUGGUGGAAGAUGGGAUGGAGAAAAACACAAUCUUGGCAAUGUUGAUUGAUAUGAAGGAAAUCAAAGAUAAUGAAGAAGUGCAUUAUUUGGACAUGGAUCUUAAGAAAAUCAAUAGUGGGAAAGUUACUAGAGCUGGGAUACAUUGUGGUUGUUGUGAAAAAAUGGUUACAGUUGGGAAAUUUGAAGAACAUUCCUAUAAGAAUAGUAGUAGUUGUAAUAAGAGUGGUAUUCUUGGAAAACCAUAUCAAAAUAUUGUGUUGGAAAGGAGUGGUCAUUCAUUGUUGCAAUACCAAGUUUCUGUUUGGUAUACAAGAUUGGAAAGAGGAGAUAUGGAUGUGGUUAAUAAUGUUGUGCCUAAAAAUAAUGAUGGUGACAAAAAUGAUGAUGCUUGUAUGGUUUGUGCUGAUGGAGGUGACUUAAUUUGCUGUGAGAAAUGCCCUUCAACUUUUCAUCCUUCUUGUUUGGAAAUGGAGGGAGUUCCUUUUGGAGAAUGGUCAUGUCCCUAUUGUGUAUGCAAAUAUUGUGGUAUACCAACAGGAGAGGAUCUUGGUAUUGACUUCUCUAAAUGCAUGUUGUGUGAUAAGACUUAUCAUUGGGCAUGUUAUGAGCAAAAAGAGCUGAAUCUCAACAACAAUACAAGCCCACAAUUUUGUGGAGAUGGAUGUUACAAUGUUUAUGAGAAACUUCAGAGAAUAGUGGGAGUGAAGAAUGAAAUGGAGGAAGGGUUGUCGUGGACACUCAUACGACAUGCUGAUUUGAUGUCGUUUGAUAUAAAAGAUAUUGAAUUUUUCUAUGAAUUUAUGGAGUGCAAUGCUAAAAUAGCCAUUGCUUGGAGCCUCUUGGAUCAAUCUUUUGAAAAUAUAAUUGAUCGUUACACUGGUAUUAAUUUACUCAGAAGUGUCGUCUACAAUGCCAGAUCAAAUUUGAGCAGAAUCAACUUCAGAAAUUUUUAUACAGCUAUCUUAGAAAAGGACGAUAAUAUAAUCGUAGUCGCAUCUAUCAGAAUACAUGGAAAGAAAAUGGCGGAAAUACCCUUUGUAACAACUGCUAAGGACUACAGGGGCAGAGGAAUGAUGCGGAAGCUAAUGGUUGCAAUUGAAUCUACUCUGUGUGAUUUGGAAGUGGAAAAUGUAGUGAUACCAUCUUCGUCAGGAGUGGAAAAGAUGUGGAUCAACAAUUUCUAUUAUUCAAAAAAGAUUGACAAGUCCUUGGAGAAACAUAUUGUACUCUCUAACAUGCUCAUGUUUCCCUAUGCUAUCAGACUACACAAACCCCUUUUGCCAAAUACUUCACAUCUUCAAGAGAGUAGUAAUUCCAAAAGAGCUGCUUUGCUGGACUUGAACUAUGAACCUCCUCAAGAGGAUGAGGAAUGAUAUCAAUGACAAGGAGAAGCUUAAUCUUAUAAUAAGACUUUUUCAUUUAUUACUUCAUAAAAUAAAUAAGUAUUACCAAUCCAUAUUGAGUUUGAUUGGAACUCAAGACUUUUGUCCUCUCAUAUCACAUUUGCCAAAUUUGGGAUUAAAUAAUUGUGUCAAAACUGAAUCUUUGCUUUUACUUAGUACUUUUAAGACAAUAUACCAAAAUCUUUGAAUGAGAGGUUUCUUAUUGUUUUU